CUCAUAGAGGGGAAUAGCCUCCCGAAAGGGAGAUUAAUACCGCAUAAGAUUGUAGCUUCGCAUGAAGUAGCAAUUAAAGGAGCAAUCCGCUAUGAGAUGGGCCCGCGGCGCAUUAGCUAGUUGGUGAGGUAACGGCUCACCAAGGCGACGAUGCGUAGCCGACCUGAGAGGGUGAUCGGCCACAUUGGGACUGAGACACGGCCCAGACUCCUACGGGAGGCAGCAGUGGGGAAUA
rnacentral:rRNA from 1 species